rnacentral:rRNA from 1 species
CCUACGGGGGGCAGCAGUGGGGAAUAUUGGACAAUGGGCGAAAGCCUGAUCCAGCCAUGCCGCGUGUGUGAAGAAGGCCUUCGGGUUGUAAAGCACUUUCAGUGGGGAAGAAAGCCUUGGGGCUAAUACCCUCGAGGAAGGACAUCACCCACAGAAGAAGCACCGGCUAACUCCGUGCCAGCAGCCGCGGUAAUACGGAGGGUGCGAGCGUUAAUCGGAAUUACUGGGCGUAAAGCGAGCGUAGGCGGUCUGAUAAGCCGGUUGUGAAAGCCCCGGGCUCAACCUGGGAACGGCAUCCGGAACUGUCAGGCUAGAGUGCAGGAGAGGAAGGUAGAAUUCCCGGUGUAGCGGUGAAAUGCGUAGAGAUCGGGAGGAAUACCAGUGGCGAAGGCGGCCUUCUGGACUGACACUGACGCUGAGGUGCGAAAGCGUGGGUAGCAAACAGGAUUAGAUACCCCGGUAGUC